UGCGGGGGGGGCAAGCGUUGUUCGGAAUUACUGGGCGUAAGGGGCUUGUAGGCGGCCAACUAAGUCAUACGUGAAAUCCCUCGGCUUAACCGGGGAACUGCGUCUGAUACUGGAUGGCUUGAGAUUGGGAGAGGGAUGCGGAAUUCCAGGUGUAGCGGUGAAAUGCGCAGAGAUCGGGAGGAACACCCGUAGCGAAGGCGGCACUCUGGGCCGGUACUGACGCUGAGGAGCGAAAGCGUGGGGAGCAAACAGG
rnacentral:rRNA from 1 species